rnacentral:rRNA from 1 species
GUGGGGAAUUUUGGACAAUGGGCGCAAGCCUGAUCCAGCCAUUCCGCGUGCAGGUUGAAGGCCUUCGGGUUGUAAACUGCUUUUGUACGGAACGAAAAGCCUCUGGUUAAUACCCGGGGGUCAUGACGGUACCGUAAGAAUAAGCACCGGCUAACUACGUGCCAGCAGCCGCGGUAAUACGUAGGGUGCGAGCGUUAAUCGGAAUUACUGGGCGUAAAGCGUGCGCAGGCGGUGAUGUAAGACAGUUGUGAAAUCCCCGGGCUCAACCUGGGAACUGCAUCUGUGACUGCAUUGCUGGAGUGCGGCAGAGGGGGAUGGAAUUCCGCGUGUAGCAGUGAAAUGCGUAGAUAUGCGGAGGAACACCGAUGGCGAAGGCAAUCCCCUGGGCCUGCACUGACGCUCAUGCACGAAAGCGUGGGGAGCAAACAGGAUUAGAUACCCUUGUAGUCC